rnacentral:rRNA from 1 species
AACGAACGCUGGCGGCAUGCCUAACACAUGCAAGUCGAACGAGACCUUCGGGUCUAGUGGCGCACGGGUGCGUAACGCGUGGGAACCUGCCCUUAGGUUCGGAAUAACUCCCCGAAAGGGGUGCUAAUACCGGAUAAUUUCUUCGGACCAAAGAUUUAUCGCCUUUGGAUGGGCCCGCGUUGGAUUAGCUUGUUGGUAGGGUAAAAGCCUCCCAAGGCGACGAUCCAUAGCUGGUCUGAGAGGAAGAUCAGCCACACUGGGACUGAGACACGGCCGAGACUCCUACGGGAGGCAGCAGUGGGGAAUAUUGGAAAAUGGGCGAAAGCCUGAUCCAGCAAUGCCGCGUGAGUGAUGAAGGCCUUAGGGUUGUAAAGCUCUUUUACCCGGGAUGAUAAUGACAGUACCGGGAGAAUAAGCACCGGCUAACUCCGUG